rnacentral:rRNA from 1 species
GACGAACCGUGCGAACGUUGUUCGGAAUCACUGGGCUUAAAGGGCGCGUAGGCGGCUUGCCAAGUCAGGGGUGAAAUCCAGCAGCUUAACUGUUGAAGUGCCUUUGAUACUGGCGAGCUCGAGGGAGGUAGGGGUCUGUGGAACUUCUGGUGGAGCGGUGAAAUGCGUUGAUAUCAGAAGGAACGCCGGUGGCGAAAGCGGGUCUCUGGGCCGUAACUGACGCUGAGGAGCGAAAGCGUGGGGAGCGAACAGG